rnacentral:rRNA from 1 species
AACGAACGCUGGCGGCAGGCUUAACACAUGCAAGUCGAGCGCCCCGCAAGGGGAGCGGCAGACGGGCGAGUAACGCGUGGGAACGUACCUUUUGGUUCGGAACAACUCCGGGAAACUGGAGCUAAUACCGGAUAAGCCCUAACGGGGCAAGAUUUAUCGCCGAAAGAUCGGCCCGCGUCUGAUUAGCUAGUUUGUGAGGUAACGGCUCACCAAGGCGACGAUCAGUAGCUGGUCUGAGAGGAUGAUCAGCCACACUGGGACUGAGACACGGCCCAGACUCCUACGGGAGGCAGCAGUGGGGAAUAUUGGACAAUGGGCGCAAGCCUGAUCCAGCCAUGCCGCGUGAGUGAUGAAGGCCUUAGGGUUGUAAAGCUCUUUUGUCCGGGAAGAUAAUGACUGUACCGGAAGAAUAAGCCCCGGCUAACUUCGUG